rnacentral:lncRNA from 1 species
AAGGCUGCAGGUGCAAGGCCAACUGUUAUUUCUUCAAAUGCGCUCAUACAUGCUUCAACAAGAAAUUCUCGAAUGUUUAAAGCAAUUGUAAGUCACAACUUUGCUUUCUCUUCAUUUUCACCUACAACGUUAUCUAUCUAUUAUAUUAUUAAGACAAUAGAAAAGGAGCGGUGAAGAUUGAACAAUGAAAGCCAUAGAUAUUUUAACGAUGGAUAUUAAUUAGGAUACCUACUUUAAAAAUUACCUUUUAAACACCGCAUGAUGGUCCUGAUAUGUAUGGGUGCAUGCAUAUAUUCUUUUGGACAUGCACGUCUGUCGCGUUUGUUUGUACAAUGAAAAUUUGCAAUCAGGUUUGUGUAUAGGAGAAGGACACGUGUAAACUAUAAACUAGGGAUGCUAAAUUAUUUUUUUAGGGGGACAAGGGACAUUGCAGUUUUUUUUAAAAGGGUUUGUUUUCCGAAGGGAUUGACGUGCAACUGGUUCCGAUUGGAAUUCCAAUACUAGGAAAGAAAAGAAUAACAUAGCUGGCCAUGUUAGCUCGGACAACAAGCCCAAAAAUAUUUGUGUGAAGACUAUUAGCCCAGCUUUUUUCCCAAACUUUACUCUCAGCAUAAAUAAUGGACUCGUCACCAAGGAGCAUUUCAAAGCACACAUGCAGCAUAUCAAUCUUAAAACGUGGAUUAAGGAGUGUAGCAAUACCCAUGAGGCCUUGGAUAUCAGACCAGUACUUGUCAAAUUUUGCACUCAUAGAAUCUGACAUAGCUUCAAUAAUUUCAUUCCCACACUUCGACCACUUCCUUAUAUUCAUUUUAAUUUCACAGAUCUUUGGAAAGUAAAUAUUAGCAGUCACAUACUGAGUCCCAGACUAGGUCUCUAUAAAAGAGUUUUUUGGAUUAUUGCAGUACCAUCGAUAUGAUUUUUGAGGUAUGUUAUACUAGGCUCAUUAACUGGAUGUUUUUUUUUGAUUUCUUGAUUGCAGGAUCCAAAUAACUAGCUGGACUGGACUCGAGAUGACGGAGGAUCCAAAAAAACUACCUGGACUAGACUCGAGACCACGCACAAUUUAGUCUAUGACUGGGCCAGUUUCAUUUGAUGGUUUGCUAUGAGAAUUAUGAGUUUUAUGAAUCUAUUAUAUGUACGGUUUUGAAUAGUGUAAUUGAAUGCCAUAUUUUUUUUAUGGUUGCAAUAGGCUAUUACCACGACCCCCUUUUGGUUGCCAC